rnacentral:rRNA from 1 species
UACGGAGGGGGCUAGCGUUGUUCGGAAUUACUGGGCGUAAAGCGCACGUAGGCGGCUUUGUAAGUUAGAGGUGAAAAGCCCGGGGCUCAACUCCGGAAUUGCCUUUAAGACUGCAUCGCUCGAAUUGUGGAGAGGUAAGUGGAAUUCCGAGUGUAGAGGUGAAAAUUCGUAGAUAUUCGGAAGAAACACCAGUGGCGAAGGCGACUUACUGGACACAUAUUGACGCUGAGGUGCGAAAAGCGUGGGGAGCAAACAGGG